GAUGAAGAACGUAGCGAAAUGCGAUAAGUAAUGUGAAUUGCAGAAUUCAGUGAAUCAACGAAUCUUUGAACGCACAUUGCGCCCGCCAGUAUUCUGGCGGGCAUGCCUGUUCGAGCGUCAUUUCAACCAUCAAGCCCCCGGCUUGUGUUGGGGACCUGCGGCUGCCGCAGGCCCUGAAAACCAGUGGCGGGCUCGCUAGUCACUCCGAGCGUAGUAAUACAUCUCGCUCAGGGCGUGCUGCGGGUUCCGGCCGUUAAAAAGCCUUAUUUACCCAAGGUUGACCUCGGAUCAGGUAGGAAGACCCGCUGAACUUAAGCAUAUCAAUAAGCGGAGGA
rnacentral:misc_RNA from 1 species